GACGAACCGUGCGAACGUUAUUCGGAAUCACUGGGCUUAAAGCGCGUGUAGGCGGGAGGGCACGUCCGUUGCUGAAAUCCCCCGGCUCAACCGGGGAACGGGCGCGGAUACGACUCUCCUUGAGGGGCGUAGGGGGACCUGGAACUUCCGGUGGAGCGGUGAAAUGCGUUGAGAUCGGAAGGAACGCCCGUGGCGAAAGCGAGGUCCUGGACGCCUACUGACGCUGAGACGCGAAAGCCAGGGGGGCGAACGGG
rnacentral:rRNA from 1 species